rnacentral:rRNA from 1 species
AUUUAAAAACCUUAUCGAGUACCAACUGGAGGGCAAGUUCUGGUGCCAGCAGCCGCGGUAAUUCCAGCUCCAGUAGCGUAUAUUAAAAGUUGCUGCAGUUAAAAAGCUCGUAGUUGAAUUUCUGUUUGUAAGAGUCGAAGCUUUACAGCUAAGAUUUCUUCGAACAUCUGUUUGCAAGCAUACGUUCGGCCUUCACUGGUUGGCUAUGUAAGCAAGCGUUUUACCUUGAGAAAAUUAGAGUGUUCCAGGCAGGCUUCAGCCGGAAUACAUUAGCAUGGAAUAAUGGAAUAGGACUGGGGACUAUUUAUUGGUUUGAGGCUCCAGUAAUGAUUAAUAGGAACAGUCGGGGGCAUUGGUACUUAACAGUCAGAGGUGAAAUUCUUGGAUUGUUAAAGACUAACUAAUGCGAAAGCAUUUGCCAAGCAUGUUUUCAUUAAUCAAGAUCGAAAGUUAAGGGAUCGAAGACGAUUAGAUACCGUCGUAGUCUUAACUAUAAACUAUGCGACCAGGGAUAUGAGUUGUUAGG